GUUAUUAUAAUUCCUUAUACACAAGCAAUUUACUCAAUAAUCUACAUACUAGCAUGAUUCCCAAAUUUAGCAUGCAUUAUUAAUAUAUGUUUCUCUGCAUACCAUUUCCUUCACCUGAAAUCCUCAUUCGAAAUGACUUGAAAUCAGCAGUUAACUUGCAAAGCAGUAAGAGAUCUAACACAACAUACUUUGUGCAAACAUGCUCAACACAGAACCUAACUAAUGACCUUAUUAACACAUUUCCAUCAAGUUUCCUUUCUGAACAGUUUAGAAGUAGCUACCAUAGCAAGAACUCCAAACCCAACAUUUAGCUAUGAAUACUUUGCUAGAAAAUAACUUCACAUAUUCUACAACCUAACUACAACUCUCAUAAUGAACAUACAGUACAUUCAAUAAGCUCAAAAUCAUAUAAUCUAGGAGAAAUAAAACUAAACUAAAGAAUCAAACAUGUUGAAGCCAUGCAUAGUAUUUCAGGUUUUAUUUUACACUUCAAGUCAAAACUUCACAUGAUGUGGAAUUCAAAAAAUUGUAUCUGGGAAUAAAAGAAAAGCAAAGAACAGAACCCAGAUUUUAGAAGUGAAACAGUAGAACCAACUCCAAACAGCUUCAAACCAAACCCUCAAAUCCUUAAAGCUCAAACCAUUUUAUCCCGAGAACAAGAAUUGGUGAUUUUCAGCAGUUUUUGCUCACCAAACAAAAUCAGAAAACUAAAAAAGAAGCAGAAUUUGAGUAGUUUUCCAAACAAAUGAUGCAAGGAAUUAAGAAUUUUUCCAAAGAAACCCCCAUCCGUUUCAACUCUUUAGUCUUUUUUUAUCUUUGAAGAUCUGCCUUGAAUGUCAAAGUAAUGAUGCCUUUAUAGGCAGGGUAAUAGGGAAUACCUCAAGGAAUUCAGCUUUGCACUUCUACCCUUUUUAUGUUUUCAUUUUUUCUUAGAAAGCCUUAGUUUAAAAAUUAAAUUUCCACAUUAGUCCCAAUACCCAGCUUCC
rnacentral:lncRNA from 1 species